rnacentral:tRNA from 1 species
CAGAGUAUUGCUCAGUGGUAGAGUACAUGCCUAGCACGCAUGAGGUCCUGGGUUCAAUCCCCAGUACUCCCA